rnacentral:rRNA from 1 species
UGAAUACGAGAUGCUACGGCGUCGAAGCAGUCUAUGUCAUACUUCCAAGAAAAGCUUGCACUGUCAUAAACAAAUAAUGCCUGUACCAUAACCGACACAGGUGGGUAGGUAGAGUAUACUAAGGGGCGCGAGAUAACUCUCUCUAAGGAACUCGGCAAAAUGACUCCGUAACUUCGGGAGAAGGAGUGCCUUAUUUUAUAAGGUUGCAAUAACAAGAUCCAAGCAACUGUUUACCAAAAACACAGGUCUCCGCUAAGUCGUAAGACGAUGUAUGGGGGCUGACGCCUGCCCAGUGCCAGAAGGUUAAAGAAGUUGGUUAGCAUCCGCGAAGCUGAUAACUGAAGCCCUGGUGAACGGCGGCCGUAACUAUAACGGUCCUAAGGUAGCGAAAUUCCUUGUCGGGUAAGUUCCGACCCGCACGAAAGGCGUAAUGAUUUGGAUACUGUCUCAGAGAGGGGCUCGGUGAAAUAGACUUGUCUGUGAAGAUGCGGACUACCUGCACCAGGACAGAAAGACCCUAUGAAGCUUUACUGUAACUUGAAAUUGAAAUUGGACUUUACUUGCGCAGUAUAGGUGGGAGGCGUUGAUAAUAUUCUUGCGGGAAUGUUGGAGCCAUCAGUGAGAUACCACUCUUGUAAUGUUAGAUUUCUAACUUUGUAUCAUUAUCUGGUCAAAGGACAGUUUCAGGCGGGCAGUUUGACUGGGGCGGUCGCCUCCCAAACGGUAACGGAGGCGCACAAAGGUUUCCUCUGAACGGGUAGAAAUCGUAUCUAGAGUGUAAAGGCAUAAGGAAGCUUGACUGUGAGACCUACAAGUCGAGCAGGGACGAAAGUCGGUCUUAGUGAUCUGACGGUGCUGAGUGGAAAGGCCGUCACUCAACGGAUAAAAGUUACUCUAAGGAUAACAGGCUGAUCUCCCCCAAGAGUUCACAUCGACGGGGAGGUUUGGCACCUCGAUGUCGGCUCAUCGCAUCCUGGGGCGGUAGUACGUCCCAAGGGUUGGGCUGUUCGCCCAUGAAAGCGGUACGCGAGCUGGGUUCAGAACGUCGUGAGACAGUUCGGUCCAUAUCCGGCGUAGGCGUUAGAAUAUUGAGAGGAGCCUUCUUUAGUACGAGAGGACCGAGAAGGACAUACCUCUGGUGUACCAGUUAUCGUGCCAACGGUAAACGCUGGGUAGCUAUGUAUGGAGUGGAUAACCGCUGAAAGCAUCUAAGUGGGAAGCCCACCUCAAGAUAAG